rnacentral:rRNA from 1 species
AGAGUUUGAUCAUGGCUCAGGAUAAACGCUGGCGGUGUGCUUUAUGCAUGCAAGUCGAACGGUCACUCGCAAGAGUGGUAGUGGCAGACGGGUGAGUAACACGUAAGUAACCUGUCCUUAAGUGGGGAAUAACUCUGAGAAAUCGGAGCUAAUACCGCAUGUGGUCGUCUUCGUAAAGGGGAUGACUAAAGCCGCAAGGCGCUUAAGGAGGGGCUUGCGCCCGAUUAGCUAGUUGGUGAGGUAACGGCCCACCAAGGCAACUAUCGGUAGCUGGUUUGAGAGGACGACCAGCCACACUGGAACUGAGACACGGUCCAGACUCCUACGGGAGGCAGCAGCAAGGAAUAUUGGGCAAUGGGCGAAAGCCUGACCCAGCGACACCGCGUGGGGGAAGAAGGCCUUCGGGUUGUAAACCCCUUUUAUCGGGGAAGAAUAAUGACGGUACCCGGUGAAUAAGCCUCGGCUAACUACGUGCCAGCAGCCGCGGUAAUACGUAGGAGGCAAGCGUUAUCCGGAUUUACUGGGCGUAAAGCGGGUGUAGGCGGCCUGUCAAGUCCGAUGUGAAAUCUCCCGGCUUAACCGGGAGGGGUCAUCAGAUACUGGUAGGCUGGAGUGCAUCAGAGGGAGAUGGAAUUCCCGGUGUAGUGGUGAAAUGCGUAGAUAUCGGGAAGAACACUAGUGGCGAAGGCGGUCUCCUGGGAUGUAACUGACGCUGAGAUCCGAAGGCGUGGGGAGCAAACAGGAUUAGAUACCCUAGUAGUCC